UACGGAGGGAGCUAGCGUUAUUCGGAAUUACUGGGCGUAAAGCGCACGUAGGCGGCUUUGCAAGUCAGAGGUGAAAGCCCGGGGCUCAACCCCGGAAUUGCCUUUGAGACUGCAUCGCUAGAAUUGUGGAGAGGUAAGUGGAAUUCCGAGUGUAGAGGUGAAAUUCGUAGAUAUUCGGAAGAACACCAGUGGCGAAGGCGACUUACUGGACACAUAUUGACGCUGAGGUGCGAAAGCGUGGGGAGCAAACAGG
rnacentral:rRNA from 1 species